AGUGAACGCUGGCGGCGUGCUUAACACAUGCAAGUCGAACGAGAACGGAUUAUAGCUUGCUAUAAUUGUCAGCUAAGUGGCGCACGGGUGAGUAAUGUAUAGGUAAUAUGCCUCUUACUAAGGGAUAACAAAUGGAAACGUUUGCUAAUACCUUAUACUCCUUAUUAACCUAAGUUAAUAAGGGAAAGAUUUAUUGGUAAGAGAUUAGCCUGUAUUGUAUCAGUUAGUUGGUGGGGUAAUGGCUCACCAAGACUAUGACACAUAACUGGUUUGAGAGGAUGAUCAGUCACACUGGAACUGAGACACGGUCCAGACUCCUACGGGAGGCAGCAGUGGGGAAUAUUGCACAAUGGACGAAAGUCUGAUGCAGCAACGCCGCGUGGAGGAUGACACAUUUCGGUGCGUAAACUCCUUUUAUAUGAGAAGAUAAUGACGGUAUUAUAUGAAUAAGCACCGGCUAACUCCGUGCCAGCCGCCGCAGUAACAC
rnacentral:rRNA from 1 species